rnacentral:tRNA from 1 species
CAAAUUGGAGCUUGAUUAGUAAAGCAUUUUAUUUACAUUAAAAAGAUAUCGUGCGAAUCGAUUUAAUUUGA